CACGAAAAGCCACCAUUAUUCAAACAGUGCAACCUGUCUAUCCCAUAAAACUCAAUUUUUCCCAUACUCCUCACCAUGGCAACCAAAUGGUAGCCCCGAGCAACUUGCAACCCUCCUAACACCAUUGCCCACCCCAUUUUACCCCCAGUGUAAAUUUUGGCGCCAAUCCGACCCCAUCUACCGCCCAUUGAACCAUUCC